CCUACGGGAGGCAGCAGUAGGGAAUUUUGCGCAAUGGGCGAAAGCCUGACGCAGCAACGCCGCGUGAUCGAGACGCCCUUCGGGGUGGAAAGAUCUGUCAGUGGGGACGAAACUUGCCGGUACCCACCGAGGCAGCACCGGCUAACUCCGUGCCAGCAGCCGCGGUAAUACGGGGGGUGCAAGCGUUGUCCGGAAUCAUUGGGCGUAAAGAGUUCGUAGGCGGCACGUAAAGUCUGGUGUUAAAGGCAGAGGCUCAACUUCUGUACGGCACUGGAUACUUGCGAGCUAGAGUGCGGUAGAGGUAAAGGGAAUUCCUGGUGUAGCGGUGAAAUGCUUAGAUAUCAGGAGGAACAUCGGUGGCGUAAGCGCUUUACUGGGCCGUAAUUGACGCUGAGGAACGAAAGCCAGGGUAGCAAAUGGGAUUAGAUACCCUAGUAGUC
rnacentral:rRNA from 1 species